GGGCAGCUAGCUCAGCAGGUUAGAGCGCUCGUAUCACAUGCGAGAGGUCAGAGGUUCGAACCCUCUGUUGCCCA
rnacentral:tRNA from 1 species